UGCUCCUCGAUUCAGCGGCGGACGGGUGAGUAAUGCCUAGGAAUCUGCCUAGUAGUGGGGGACAACGUUUCGAAAGGAACGCUAAUACCGCAUACGUCCUACGGGAGAAAGUGGGGGAUCUUCGGACCUCACGCUAUUAGAUGAGCCUAGGUCGGAUUAGCUAGUUGGUAGGGUAAAGGCCUACCAAGGCGACGAUCCGUAACUGGUCUGAGAGGAUGAUCAGUCACACUGGAACUGAGACACGGUCCAGACUCCUACGGGAGGCAGCAGUGGGGAAUAUUGGACAAUGGGCGAAAGCCUGAUCCAGCCAUGCCGCGUGUGUGAAGAAGGCCUUCGGGUCGUAAAGCACUUUAAGUUGGGAGGAAGGGCUCAUAGCGAAUACCUGUGAGUUUUGACGUUACCAACAGAAUAAGCACCGGCUAACUUCGUGCCAGCAGCCGCGGUAAUACGAAGGGUGCAAGCGUUAAUCGGAAUUACUGGGCGUAAAGCGCGCGUAGGUGGCUUGAUAAGUUGGAUGUGAAAUCCCCGGGCUCAACCUGGGAACUGCAUCCAAAACUGUCUGGCUAGAGUGCGGUAGAGGGUAGUGGAAUUUCCAGUGUAGCGGUGAAAUGCGUAGAUAUUGGAAGGAACACCAGUGGCGAAGGCGACUACCUGGACUGACACUGACACU
rnacentral:rRNA from 2 species